rnacentral:rRNA from 1 species
GAGUUUGAUCCUGGCUCAGAGUGAACGCUGGCGGCAGGCCUAACACAUGCAAGUCGAACGGCAGCACAGCAGUAGCAAUACUGUGGGUGGCGAGUGGCGGACGGGUGAGGAAUACAUGGGAAUCUGCCCUGUCGUGGGGGAUAACGUAGGGAAACUUACGCUAAUACCGCAUACGACCGAGAGGUGAAAGCGGCGGACCGCAAGGCGUCGCGCGAUUGGAUGAGCCCAUGUCGGAUUAGCUAGUUGGCGGGGUAAAGGCCCACCAAGGCGACGAUCCGUAGCUGGUCUGAGAGGAUGAUCAGCCACACUGGAACUGAGACACGGUCCAGACUCCUACGGGAGGCAGCAGUGGGGAAUAUUGGACAAUGGGCGCAAGCCUGAUCCAGCCAUGCCGCGUGAGUGAAGAAGGCC